UACGUAGGGGGCGAGCGUUGUCCGGAAUCAUUGGGCGUAAAGCGCGUGUAGGCGGCCCGGUAAGUCCGCUGUGAAAGUCCAGGGCUCAACCCUGGGAUGCCGGUGGAUACUGUCGGGCUCGAGUCCGGAAGAGGCGAGUGGAAUUCCUGGUGUAGCGGUGAAAUGCGUAGAUAUCAGGAGGAACACCGGUGGUGUAGACGGCUCACUGGACCGUAACUGACGCUGAGACACGAAAGCGUGGGUAGCAAACAGG
rnacentral:rRNA from 1 species